CCUUACUGAGUGUUUUCUGCUUGAAAAAUUGCGAAAAAUUGCUUUGGACCUGUUUGAUUUGUAUGUUGCUGUUUUUGGGCGCAUAGUUCAGUUUGUUCUUCUGUAUUGCAAUAAGUGCUAACGCUGUUCAGCCCAAGUUGCUCGGAUAAAUCUAAACUGCGGAAAUUGCUAACCUAGGCAAAAACAUUGAAUUCUAUCUUUGCUUUGUUAGUGCAAAUAGAUUGCAUGAAAACCUAAAGUUUGCGAUUAAAUGAAGUACUUUACGAGUAUGGCUCACCACACACAACAUAUUAAAUACCAAUAAGCAGUCAACGCCCUACCAAGGGAGCAGCAGAUGUUUCGGCAAAUAUAAGUGUCCAAAAUGUAAUCGUGCGUGGGCCUCCGCAUGUUCGUGGGCUAACACUUGGCAGCAGUGCAACGCAUGCAAAUCGAAGGUUUAUCCGCAUAAUCAGUGGAAACUGAAGAAGCGGAAGAAUCAGAAACCAACUAAACCGGACGAAGACGCUGAUGCAAAGAUCAAAGGCCAUAUUAAGGAACUUUGUGAGAAGUGUCGAAUAAUAGGAUCUAAUUGUUUGAAGUAUUUCAAGUUGAAUAAAAAGAAGGCGGAGAAACCUUAA